GCAAACUUGGUCAUUUAGAGGAAGUAAAAGUCGUAACAAGGUUUCCGUAGGUGAACCUGCGGAAGGAUCAUUAUUGAAAUAAAAUCAAACGGACUGCUGCUGGUUCUUUGGAGCAUGUGCACGUCUGCUUUGUUUUUCAAGUUUCUCCUGUGCACCAUGGGCGGCAGUGGUUUCAUCUAAAGCGAUGAACUCUCGAACAUCACUUUCGGUUGCGAAAAAUCUAGCUGGGCUAAUGAUGACCAGCUUGUUUUUUCUGAAAAUCGUUCUAAGAUAAACUCUGUCGUCGUUAUUUAUCACACUUAUGAACAUCAGAACGUUGACACAAGAGAAAAAAAAGUCUCUUAUAAAUCAUAAUAACUUUCAACAACGGAUCUCUUGGCUCUCGCAUCGAUGAAGAACGCAGC
rnacentral:misc_RNA from 1 species